rnacentral:rRNA from 1 species
UACGGAGGGGGCUAGCGUUGCUCGGAAUUACUGGGCGUAAAGCGCACGUAGGCGGCUUUGCAAGUCAGAGGUGAAAGCCCGGGGCUCAACCCCGGAAUUGCCUUUGAGACUGCAUCGCUAGAAUUGUGGAGAGGUAAGUGGAAUUCCGAGUGUAGAGGUGAAAUUCGUAGAUAUUCGGAAGAACACCAGUGGCGAAGGCGACUUACUGGACACAUAUUGACGCUGAGGUGCGAAAGCGUGGGGAGCAAACAGG